GCUGCAGAGUGACCCACAGGGUUCUGCCGAUGUGAGAUGGAAUGAUAACCACAAUGGUCCUUCCUAAGGGUGUGGGGAGCAUCCAUUAAGGCUCCUGCAUUUGAACACUUGCUCCCCAGAAGACGGCAUUGUACCAGGGGUCUGUGGACUGUUUAAGAGGUGGAACCUAGCUGGAGGAAGCGAGGCACCAGAAGAAUGGGAUUUAAAAGUUAUAACUUGGUCCUGCUUCCUGGUUUCCUGAGAUAUAUUCAAGGAGCCCCACCUACCACCUGCUGCCACUGCAGAAAGAUCCACCACCAUGGAACUUGGAAUUAAAUUAGACCUUUC
rnacentral:lncRNA from 1 species